rnacentral:rRNA from 1 species
GACGAACGCUGGCGGCGUGCUUAACACAUGCAAGUUGGACGGUACGACAUGGAAGCUUGCUGAAGUGUCGUACAGUAGCGAACGGGUGAGUAAUGCAUGAGAAUCUGCCCUUUGGAGGGGGACAACAGCUGGAAACGGCUGCUAAUACCCCGUAAGCCGGGAGGUGAAAGGUACGCGAGUACUGCCGGGGGAUGAGCUCAUGUCCUAUCAGCUGGUUGGUGGGGUAACGGCCCACCAAGGCGACGACGGGUAGCCGGCCUGAGAGGGUGACCGGCCACACUGGAACUGAGACACGGUCCAGACUCCUACGGGAGGCAGCAGUGGGGAAUUUUGGGCAAUGGGGGAGACCCUGACCCAGCGACGCCGCGUGAGGGAAGACGGCCUCGGUGUAACGUACUUCUAGCAGGAGAAGACGAAAGUAGACGGUACCGUACGCAGAAGAAGACACCGGCGUAACUACGUACGCCACGCAGCCGCGGUAACGUAAGUACUACG